AAAACAAAAACAAAAUAAAUGACCCCAUUAAUAUUUUAAUAACUCUUUCAUAUUUUAAAUUAAAACAUUAUUAUGAAAUGUUCAGUCACUCUCUCUAACUCUCAAAACCUGGAAUUAGACAUCGUCUCUCUCAGCCUCAACCCAGAACACAUCGACCUCACCAUCGACCAUCUCUCUCAGCCAGAUCCGGCGAAGGAAGGCAACUACCGAUGAAUGACGACCAAUUUCGGCUAACAUACAAGCAAUCUCCGAGGUAGGCUAUCGAUUUUUCCCCUGUUUGAUGUUUGUAUAACUAUUCGAUUUUCGCUUUCUUUUUCCCCUUAUGCUUUCUUUAUUUAUCUGGUAAUAGUUUUGAUAAACCCAUUAUUUUACUUCUUCUUUGUUUGUAUUACAUGAUACAUUUUGUGAUUUCUAGUUUGCACAAUUGGGGGAUUUAUUUAUUAGGUUUUGAUUUUCUGUUUGAAACCAUGAGAUUUUCUUUAUUCGAUGUUUGCUAUCGAUGUUCGAUGUUUGAUUUUCGUUGUUCGCUAUCUUGGUUAUUCAGAAAAACCGUUUCGUUGCUCCUUUUUUCUUUCUCUGGUAAUAUUUUUGAUAAACACAUUCUUUUACUUCUGUCCGAUUAUGCUUGUGCAGCUUUCACUUAAAAUUGUGAGAUUCGUUCAUGUUUGUACUUUAGUCUAACGGGUAACUAUUUGCCUUUACGUCUAUUAGACAUUGGGGUUAUUCUUCUACAAAUUGCUUGCCUUUCUAAAUUUUCUUGUUUGGUAAAAAUGAUGCUAUCUAAUCCUUAAAAUCCAUCUAAUAAACUUUCGGAAGUAGUCGUCAAUCAUAUUCUCAUAGUUGUAAUUCAUAACUUAGUGCAAAGAACGAAAAGCUAUAAGCAUUCUGUGCAAGUUGUAAACUGUUGAGGUCUUUUCUUUAUAAUUACGACCUAGGAAAUUAAUUUACCCAUUUCCAAUUACAUAUUUUGUCCAAUUUUACGAUGUUAUUUGGUCACAAUAUGUCUCACAAUAGUAGAACUUUCCUAGAACAGUGAAUAUCCAAACCUCUUUCUAAGCAAAGGCAGAAAAGACGGCCUAAUUCUAGUCCUGUCAACUUCAUUAUAAAAUGUAAAGGUACAAGACUCAAGUCCUUAAACUAUUAUAUGUACAGUAAACUUUUAAGCAAAUGAAAGGUGCUAUGGAUAGAAGACAUGGAAACACCUAAUACGAUGAACUUAUAAGUUGGUAUGUACAAUCCAAUUGAAAUCAGAGCUGCGGCAUAUAUCUGUAGCUAAUGUUUUCAAAUUUAAACAAGGUUGAAUCCAUGGAAGAACUGUUUCUGUUGAGACGAGUUUAUAUGGUCAGUGAGGAUAGAUAUAGCAAACUUCAACUUGCUUGUAAUUGAGGCAUAAUAGUAGUUGUUGUAGGAGUUCUUAAUCCUCAGUUGGUAAAUUUUAGCCAAAACACUUGAGCCCUUAGAUAGUGAAAACGAAUCAUGUGCGAUUAUAUUAAUUUUGCUUCCAUGCCUUCCAACAAAAGAAGGUUGUUCUCCAAAGUUUAACAGUUUGGUUUAAAUGGCUGGAAAAUGGAGAAAACAGCAGAUUAAUAAUAUCAAGGGAAUGUGAUACUUAUUAUGAAGAACUGGGAAGUUGACUCAUAUUGCAGCACCAAUGGUGGCAGUUUCUGUAUUGCAGUAUCUAUUGCAAGUGGUAUCAGUGUACUUAGUGACUAAGAACUUUGUUUCAAACUUAGAUUUACAUGAGAAAAAUGGUUAAAAAACUAAUAUUGUGCACCUGUUUCUAUAGGUUCUGCGUCCUUAGAGACAUGGUUCUGAUCACUACAAAAAAAAAUUAGAAUCAACUAUGAACGUCGUCGCUAAUCCGUCGUUAAAACACUCGUAGCUAGCAGAAUUUCUUACUAAUCCGUUGCUAAUCCAUCGCUAAAUGAGACUAGCGAUGGAUUUUUCUGUUUAGCUACAGAAUUUGUCCGUCGCUAAAACCUGAUUUUUUUAGUAGUAGAUAUUUAGGAAUUUGCCGAGCACUUGUUUUAGCUGCCUUCUCAUGCCUUCAAAUGCCCUAAUCUUCCUCUUUGAAGCCAUAUAUGUUCCAUCUAGAUGAUAACACAACCUCAAUAUUUCUAUGGUAACAAGAACCUUUCUUAAUUGUAGAGAAAAGAAGACAUGCUAGCACAAAAGAAGAUACCAGAUGGGCAGAAAGAAGAAAUGUCACAGGUUCUGUGCCAUAACCAUAGGCAACGUCACUAGAAGAAGACUAUGAUGAUUUGAUAUCUUUAUACUAAAUUAUAUAUUAGAACUGGAAUUUGUGAAUUUGUAAUCAUAAGGGUUAUUAGACGUGCAUGAGUGAUAGUAUAUGGUAUGGUAUGUAUAUCGUUGUCUUAAAGUAUAUAUUCAGAUCCUGCUUGCUCUCUCUCUCUCUCUCUCACACACACACACACACACACACACACACACACACACUCACACACACACACACACACACACACACACACACACUCACACUCAUUGGAUAGGCAUGCAUUAGGCAAUAAGCUGGUUCCCUUUCUAUGUUAAAUGCUUAAUUCUGGCAAAUUUGUAGAAGAAACCAAAUAGGUAGAAAACUAGAACUAGAAGUAGUAACUCAUACAACUUAGAGUCGCUAGUUUAAUGCAGCUCAAUUGACUUUCCUGCAUCUUCAUACCUGCUGUUUAGAUUAGAUAUACCAGAUGAAUAUAGGUAAUACUUUUUACUGGCUUAGACAUAAAACAGGAUACUGACAGUUUGCUGGGAAAAGAGAUUAAGGAAUCAUAUUUAGUUCGCCAUACAUAUUAUUUUGCUAUGCUUUGUACCUACGAUAAUAUCAUAUUAAUUUGGAACCUAAAGAAUAAGCCCCUAUGUUUGCCCAGCAAAAAGUAGGAUUGCCACUUUAUGGACAAGGCUUUCUGAACUUGUAGGUUAUUUGUUGAUCAUUGAACCCAGAGAUUUGUAGUUCUAAGAAUACAGCUUCUAGUAGAGUGUAAAAAAGAAAUGAACUUAACUACAUCUGUACAUCAUCUUUCAGAUGACACAAGACAUAUCAAAUUGUGCUUAAAAGCAAAGAAAAGAAACUAACUUAAAUUGUAUCUGUUCCUACCAUUUUUCUCUUUCUUUGGCUUGUAUUUAAGGUACAAUCCUUUAAAAAACGUUUUUAACAUUAUAAGUUGAACCUUAUUCUUGAUUCAACAUCAUGUGCAUAAUGAAUAUAAACGUGGGAUUAGCAACUGGAACUUCAAUCUUGAAGAUUUGAAGGCACAAGCUUGCCUGGUAUUUGAAUCUAUAUUUAAUUGCGCAUACACCAAUAAUAUCUUAAUACGUGUGCUUUAGCUUUACUUUUCUGAUGAGAAAUGCGUGUUAUUCGAAGAGAGCAUAAUGGUGUUUGGUUUCUCAAACACAAGUUAGUCAUUGUAUUUUAAAUGUUAAUUUUUCACCUACGGAACUUGCUAUGGGACGAUUUCUCAUCGAUAUUACCCAUUGUGGAUUUUUCUUUUCUAAAAGCAAGAGAAAUGAACUCUAGUUUGCAAACAAUACCUUUUUCUUUUUUGCUUUUAGAUUCCAGAUGAGGAAAUUAUUGGUGAGAAUGACCAAGGUGGGAGUACAAAUGCACUCCCAGGGCUUGACAACCAAGGAAAACGGCUUCAAUGUCAAUUCUCCUUUGGAAGUCAAAAUUCAGAUGCUACAGGAUUCCAUGUGAACUUUAAACUUUAUGUAGUAGCCUAAUACCAUGCGAUGUUUCCUCUAGUUCUUCUUGGCCAUGGCUGUUGUUUUUCUUCUUUCUCUGCUUCAUGAUGAGCUACAAACUCGGACUUCUCACUUAUUUUUGUAACGAAGAUCAUGAAUCUGUUCACCAGUAGGCCCCUUCACCUAAAAACUCACCAUCUUAGCAACAUCAAUACAAUAAUCCAUUACAAAUAACUGUAAUGGAUAAAGUAGAAAAUGUAUGACUUGACUAUUUAAGAUAUCAUCAUCAUGAAAUCUGCAACUCAAAACAUGUUUGAAUAUGCACCCUCAUAGACUCUUUUCGAUGAUUGUUUUCACUCUUUUAGAACCGGAUGGAUUGACAAUAACAUCAUCCAAACCAGCUGUUCGUGCACCAGCAUCAAGAGCAUCAGGUGAAUUAUUUUGUGCACCUGUUUCUAUAGGUUUUGCGUCCUUAGAGACCUAGUUCUGAUAUUUAGGAAUUUUCCGAGCACUUGUGUUAGCUGACUUCUCAUUCUUAUCUUCUUUAGUCCCAUCAGAAACACCAAGGAAUCGAGAUGCUACUGUUGAACUUUGUCCAGAUUUAUCAUGAACCACCUGCUGAAGUUGCCGAGAUUCUUCAUUCACAUCUUUACCAUAUGUUUUAUCCAGAACAUGUUGCUGCACCUCGACUGUUUUGAUUACUGAAUUAGCUCAAUCAUCAAUUACACCCAAAUCUGAACACACAACCUUGUGCACCCCAGCUCUCUUCUCCUGCACGCAUGAAACUAUCUGCAUAUUUGACUGCCCAAUCACUUGUUGCUGCACCUCGACUGCUUUGGUGCGCACUUAAUUGUCAUUCAAUUAUCUUAAAAAUAUUGUUCAAUUAUUUCUAAUUGUAUUUUGCAGGUGCAUCGAUUGUGGAUGAAAGCAGUGACGAAGACCUUACUUGAGUGUUGUUGAUCGUUGUUAGACUUUCUAUUGUCAUGUUCAAGGAUAUUUUAGUUUAGAACUUUAUUUUUUUAUGCAAACUCAUCUAUUUUAACUUUUGAAUUGUUGAUCAAACAAUGUAUUCAUAUUUUGUUUUUGUUUAUGGAUAAUGUUAGUUGGGUAUUUUAAUUUUAUUUUGUGGUUUAUAUAGGUUAUGGUGUAUAAAAUUUCAUUGCGUAGGGAAAUAUUCCUCCUUUUGCUUCCAUA
rnacentral:lncRNA from 1 species